rnacentral:rRNA from 1 species
CCUACGGGCGGCUGCAGUGGGGAAUAUUGCACAAUGGGGGAAACCCUGAUGCAGCGACGCCGCGUGAGUGAAGAAGUAAUUCUUUAUGUAAAGCUCUAUCAGCAGGGAAGAAAAUGACGGUACCUGAGUACGAAGCCCCGUCUAACUACGUGCCAGCAGCCGCGGUAAUACGUAGGGGGCAAGCGUUAUCCGGAUUUACUGGGUGUAAAGGGAGCGUAGACGGCAGUGCAAGUCUGGAGUGAAAGGCGGGGGCUCAACCCCCGGACUGCUCUGGAAACUGUACGGCUGGAGUGCAGGAGAGGUAAGUGGAAUGCCUAGUGUAGCGGUGAAAUGCGUAGAUAUUAGGAGGAACACCAGUGGCGAAGGCGGCUUACUGGACUGUAACUGACGUUGAGGCUCGAAAGCGUGGGGAGCAAACAGGAUUAGAUACCCCUGUAGUC